AGAGUUUGAUCAUGGCUCAGAAUCAACGCUGGCGGCGCGCUUAACACAUGCAAGUCGAACGAGAAAGUCCGCAAGGAUGAGUACAGUGGCGUACGGGUGAGUAACACGUGGGUAAUCUACCUUCGGGUGGGGAAUAACCCUGGGAAACCGGGGCUAAUACCGCAUAACACCGAGAGGUCAAAGGCGAAAGUCGCCUGAAGAGGAGCCCGCGGCUGAUUAGCUAGUUGGUAGGGUAAAGGCCUACCAAGGCUGAGAUCGGUAGCCGGCCUGAGAGGGCACACGGCCACACUGGCACUGAAACACGGGCCAGACUCCUACGGGAGGCAGCAGUGGGGAAUCUUGCACAAUGGGGGCAACCCUGAUGCAGCGACGCCGCGUGAGUGAUGAAGCCCUUCGGGGUGUAAAGCUCUUUCGGCAGGAACGAUAAUGACGGUACCUGAAGAAGAAGCUGCGGCUAACUACGUGCCAGCAGCCGCGGUAAUACGUAGGCAGCAAGCGUUGUUCGGAGUUACUGGGCGUAAAGAGUGCGUAGGCGGUUUCGUAAGUCUGGUGUGAAAUCUCCCGGCUUAACUGGGAGGGUGCGCCGGAAACUGCGGGGCUGGAGUGUGGGAGAGGUAAGCGGAAUUCCUGGUGUAGCGGUGAAAUGCGUAGAUAUCAGGAGGAACACCUGGUGUAGACAGCUUGCUGGACCAUAACUGACGCUGAGGCACGAAAGCGUGGGUAGCAAACAGGAUUAGAUACCCUAGUAGUCC
rnacentral:rRNA from 1 species